AUUUUUGCUGUUUCUUUGGUAUUCUAGCUGUAGAUUGUUUUCACAUAUUGUAUCAUCUAAAGCUUUUAUACCAAAGCUCCAGCUUAAAU
rnacentral:pre_miRNA from 1 species